rnacentral:rRNA from 1 species
UACGAAGGGGGCUAGCGUUGCUCGGAAUCACUGGGCGUAAAGCGCACGUAGGCGGAUUGCUAAGUCAGGGGUGAAAUCCUGAGCUCAACUCCAGAACUGCCUUUGAUACUGGCGAUCUCGAGUCCGGGAGAGGUGAGUGGAACUGCGAGUGUAGAGGUGAAAUUCGUAGAUAUUCGCAAGAACACCAGUGGCGAAGGCGGGUCUCUGGGCCGAUACUGACGCUGAGG